rnacentral:rRNA from 1 species
CGGCGAGUGAAGCGGGAAGAGCUCAAAUUUGAAAUCUGGUGGCCUCAGGUCAUCCGAGUUGUAAUCUAUAGAAGUGUUUUCCGUGCUGGCUCAUGUACAAGUCCCUUGGAACAGGGCGUCAUAGAGGGUGAGAAUCCCGUCCUUGACAUGAACUACCAGUGCUCUGUGAUACAUUUUCAACGAGUCGAGUUGUUUGGGAAUGCAGCUCAAAAUGGGUGGUAAAUUCCAUCUAAAGCUAAAUAUUGGCGAGAGACCGAUAGCGAACAAGUACCGUGAGGGAAAGAUGAAAAGCACUUUGGAAAGAGAGUUAAACAGUAUGUGAAAUUGUUAAAAGGGAAACGAUUGAAGUCAGUCGUGCUCUUUGGAUUCAGCCGGUUCUGCCGGUGUACUUCCUUUGAGUGGGGUCAACAUCAGUUUUGAUCGCUGGAUAAAGGCUGGAGGAACGUAGCACCCCCGGGUGAACUUAUAGCCUCCUGUCACAUACAGUGGUUGGGACUGAGGAACGCAGCACGCCUUUAUGGCCAGGAUCCGUCCAUGUACGUGCUUAGGAUGUUGACAUAAUGGCUUUAAACGACCCGUCUUG